GCCGCCGUAGCUCAGCCUGGGAGAGCGCCCGGCUGAAGACCGGGGUGCCGAGUGUUCAAAUCACUCCGGCGGCA
rnacentral:tRNA from 1 species